AGGAUGUAACAUCAGCUCAUUAAUUAAGGUAAUAUCCUAGACUUUUUUGAAAGAACAAUUUUCUAAGCUUUCUUUAACCAUGUUCUUUAAUAGUAUAGAUCGUAAUCAAACUGGUCAGUAGUGACUAAGACUAAACAUGGGAUGGACUAGGAGCAGUGGUAGAUCUUGAAAGUGCUCUUUUGACUUGCUACACUCAACUACUAGUACCUUUUAUUUUUGUCCAAUUAGAUUUCUGAUCGUUAGGUGUCCAUGAAGAUUCACAUGCCUCUGUGCCUCCAGGAAGCUUGCAUGCGUCGCUACCGCUCUAGUUUUAUUUUUUAAAAUCAUGAGUACCUCCCGGUCUCUCCCCACCGCCCACCGACGAAUGACAAUUCAUUUAGGGCCGGCGGCAGUUUGAGUGGACAAUCCAGAAGGCCGAAGGGCCUUUACCUUGGCACUUGAAAUUUUCCAAUACACCAAAUUAGAUCAAUGUGGUCAGGUUUGUAUAGGUUUUCGCCUGGUUCUCGUGACUUAACUGACAAUUUUCUUCUUAAUUAAUGUAUGAAGUCCAUUUCAAAGAAUAAUAAUUAGGUCAACAUGCCUGAAAUUUUGACUUAAAUCUAAUAAUUAUUUCCUUGAUUGUUUGUGUACAAAUCCUACUUAUAUAAAAAAAAGAGAAUGCACAUGUUAACUCGGGAGGUGGCUGUGUUUUUCUUUUUUAUCUGUAUUUCAUGAUAUUCCUUUUUAUCUGUUUGCCGAUGAUAGCCACUGAAUGUCUCUAGUCGCCGGGAUUCAUAGAAGAGGGAGUAUAUUCGUCAACUUGAAGAGGGAGGGGAUGAGAAGUGACCUUGCUUCCUUUAAAUCUUGUCAUGAGGGACGGUCAAUGCCGGCAGUGUAUAAUAUACAAAACAGAUAGGGGGCAGCAAAAACCAUAGACAGCGGAGGGACCAUCCUGGAUGGUUUCAUGGAUGCUGGACAGUUGCAGAUAAGUAUCCUUUUAUUCUAUGGUAUACACGAUAGCCAGCCAGGAGAUCAUGAGAUCAAACCAGAUACUCUUGGCUGUGUGAAUUCGUUGGCGGAAAGUAGCUUGAUUUAUCCAGAUUUAAUUCCCAAUAGACAAAAAAAAGAAAGAAAGAAAAUGGACUAAAAACAUAAAAUUAUAGGGCCUCGUUUGAGAUACUAGCUAGAGUAUUGCCAUACUAUGAACAGUGCUAGGUUUAAUUCCGUUUUGGGUGGGAUAUUUGUACUAUGUACGACUGCCAAAAGAAUAUAAUAUUAUCGACAAUUAAGUAAAUAUGCGUACUGUGGUGUCAACUGUUGCUGAUUGGAACUACUACUUGGCAGCAGCAGCAUGGGUACUACUCCCGGUACUACUUAAAACCAUGGGAGGGCUCAGCACUGGAGGUACGACCACCUAUCCCAUCCAUCUCCUCUGCUCCAAAACCAGACGCCAAGAGCCCUUUCUCUCACCACCUCUCCUUUCAAUUCCAGUACGGCGGUCGCUCACCGGAUCCAAGAAGAAAAAAUCUCUCCCAUUUCCUGUUGCGUCCGGAGGUUUUGUUUGGGUUUCCUUUCGGAUUUUUGGGUUGUUUGCUGCUUUUGUGUCGGAAGUUGUUCUUCGGUUGUGCAAUCUGUGAAGUAAUGUUAGCUCCUGGUGUGGGGAGGCCCUCGAGAGAUUGACAGAAGAGAGUGAGCACAUGGCGUGAUGCCGGCAUAACAUGUAUGCCGUCUUCGCCGCGUGCUCACUCCUCUUUCUGUCAGCCUCUUUCUCUCAGGAGUUUACGUUACAUUCAGAUCCACUGGUGGGUAUGUAGAACUAAUUUGAUUCAAUUUCAAUUCAAUAGUUCAUAAUUUUCCACACAAAAAAGAAGGUUAACCCCUGCUUAUGAGAGGAACUCAGCCACAAAAGAAAGACAGAACACGCAUGCGGCAUGUACUCUGGCUGUUCUCCGACUUUACCAUGCCACUUCCUUAUCUCUUUAGAUGUGUGCGCACGCAAAAAAAUAAAAUAAAAUAAAUUGCUCUGUUGUUUUGAUCUUUUCAGUCAAGUUGCUCCUGGGAACUACUACCGAGGAGAGUGAUACGGAUGCUAGUGGUAAUUGUAAGGAGUGGCAGCUGUAGGCUUGUAGUACUGGAAUAAAUGAUUGGAUUUGUUACUUGUUUUUUUCAUCCCCAAAUUGUUUUAUCUUCUCCCUUUGCAGUUGUACUCGCCUUGGGAGCUGAAUCAUGGAGAUGCUGCCGGUACACUGCAACAUGCACCAGCUCUCUCUCUCUCU
rnacentral:rRNA from 1 species